GACGUAGGGCGCGAGCGUUGUCCGGAUUUAUUGGGCGUAAAGAGCUCGUAGGCGGCUUGUCGCGUCGACUGUGAAAUCCCGCGGCUCAACCGCGGGUCUGCAGUCGAUACGGGCAGGCUAGAGUUCGGUAGGGGAGACUGGAAUUCCUGGGUGUAGCGGUGAAAUGCGCAGAUAUCAGGAGGAACACCGAUGGCGAAGGCAGGUCUCUGGGCAUUAACUGACGCUGAGGAGCGAAAAGCAUGGGGAGCGAACAGG
rnacentral:rRNA from 1 species